CCUACGGGAGACAGCAGUGAGGAAUAUUGGUCAAUGGGCGCUAGCCUGAACCAGCCAAGUAGCGUGAAGGAUGACUGCCCUAUGGGUUGUAAACUUCUUUUAUAUGGGAAUAAAGUGCAGUAUGUAUACUGCUUUGCAUGUACCUUAUGAAUAAGGAUCGGCUAACUCCGUGCCAGCAGCCGCGGUAAUACGGAGGAUCCGAGCGUUAUCCGGAUUUAUUGGGUUUAAAGGGAGCGUAGGCGGGUUGUUAAGUCAGUUGUGAAAGUUUGCGGCUCAACCGUAAAAUUGCAGUUGAUACUGGCAGCCUUGAGUGUAGUAGAGGUAGGCGGAAUUCGUGGUGUAGCGGUGAAAUGCUUAGAUAUCACGAAGAACUCCGAUUGCGAAGGCAGCCUGCUGGACUGUAACUGACGCUGAUGCUCGAAAGUGUGGGUAUCAAACAGGAUUAGAUACCCUGGUAGUC
rnacentral:rRNA from 1 species